rnacentral:rRNA from 1 species
GACGAACGCUGGCGGCGUGCUUAACACAUGCAAGUCGAACGGAAAGGCCCUGCUUUUGUGGGGUGCUCGAGUGGCGAACGGGUGAGUAACACGUGAGUAACCUGCCCUUGACUUUGGGAUAACUUCAGGAAACUGGGGCUAAUACCGGAUAGGAGCUCCUGAUGCAUGGUGGGGGUUGGAAAGUUUCGGCGGUUGGAGAUGGACUCGCGGCUUAUCAGCUUGUUGGUGGGGUAGUGGCUUACCAAGGCUUUGACGGGUAGCCGGCCUGCGAGGGUGACCGGCCACAUUGGGACUGAGAGACGGCCCAGACUGCUACGGGAGGCAGCAGUGGGGAAUAUUGCACAAUGGGCGGAAGCCUGAUGCAGCAACGCCGCGUGCGGGAUGACGGCCUUCGGGUUGUAAACCGCUUUCGCCUGUGACGAAGCGUGAGUGACGGUAAUGGGUAAAGAAGCACCGGCUAACUACGUG